AUGCUUUAAAGUGACUAAUUUAUAGUUUGAAGCCAUCAAACUCAUAACAAUGGUCAUGACCAUUCAUAAUUAAACCAAUAAAAUUCAUAAAAAGAAAUUUUAAUUUGUGAGAUUAACGGCAAUUAAUACUUUGAAGUGACUAAUUCUUUAACUCAUUAUUUUAAACUACAUUAAUUCAUAAUAAUUUCCAUAAUCAUUCAUAACCAAACCAAUUUAUAAAAGCAAGCUUUAAUCAGCGGACUCCACGGCAAUUAAUACUUUGAAGUGGAU
rnacentral:lncRNA from 1 species